ensembl:lncRNA
UAAAAAUUUUUUAUAUUUCUAUAAAAUUUGAAAUAAUAAAGCUAUAAUUUGAAAUAUAGCUAAACUUUCCUCUGUCUCCUUAAAGGUUUAUACCUAGGUGCUAGUCUACUGUGCUAAGUAAUUUGCCAGUUCAUGAUAAUUAGUAUCUGAUUGGGUUCUAGAUUUUAUUGUUAGACGGUCUCCAAGUUUGACUCAAUACCCACACUUUGAAAGAUACUUAUCUGUGCUGUCUUUAUCUGAGGUCUUGAGAAUGUCACCUUAGAGUCACCGGUCUCUUAUGAAGGACUUUGUGGCCUGCCUCCUGUCCUUUUGGACAGGUGGAGGUUAAGGAGCGGGGAGGGACGAUGCAAACAGAGUGCGGGUUGACUGCUGUUUCCCGAUCCUCCUUACGUUCCUAUCAAAGUUUAAAAAGAAGCAUCCCAAUUGUAAAACCCUCAACUCUGGUGGUAAUUUUUUUUAACCAUUGAGACUUUUUAGUUUUUUUCUUUAAUUGCAUUGAUUUUCAGUAAUAUCAUUGGAGUUUCUCCCUAUUUUUGCUCAUUUUGCUAGCAUGUCGUUGACAGUUGUUGCAGAGGAAAGCUUAAAAAUUAAGUUGGCAGUUAUUUCCUACCCUCACUGUUUCAUAUUAACUGUUGUCCUACUGUUCAGUCAGGAAAGUUCUACUGUUUAAUUAUAAAUGUUGCUAUAAAUACGUUAUAAGUUACAUUGUAAAUAUUGCUAAAACAUCAACAAGGAUUUCAGGCUGCUUGAGGGAAAAGCAGAACAAUUGACUAGAGCGUAUAAGCUAAUGAGCACGCUCUGAGCACGGUGAUGGGGUUCAGCAUCUCAGGUGAGGUUACGGAAGGUCCUGCCAGGCUGUGGCCCCGUUAGAGCAGGGGGCUGUCCAGCAGCCCGAGGGGCACCUGACCGACCCAGGAAUCUUCUCAGUCACUUAUGCUGUUCUUGAAACAACGUGAGCGCCACAUCGAAAUCACAUCCCCACACCUUGUGGGCAGUAGUUUCGAUCCGCAGGAUCCUCAGCCCCCAGUGAGGCUGUCAGGCGCCCUGUUGCCCUGUAGGGAGAACAAUAGGAGGAGAGGCACUGAGGGCAAAGGGCUCGUGACCUGAAAAACGUGACUUCUACUGAGAACUUUCUCUGUUACCCAGCCGCAAAACCCAGUGUCCACAGUGGGAUUUCUAAAGUCCCAAUUGCUUUUUCAGGUUGAAAUAAAGGAAGCAGGUGGUACUCUCACAAGUAACAAUCCGGAGGAAGCGACUUUUCAGAACCCUGUUGCCCCGGAACCCUGUUGCAAGUUGCCAUCAUCACAAGAAGCAGAGGAUGCCUCUGGCUGCGCUCAUAAGAAGGACGCCAACCCAAUGCUUGACAAUGGAGCUUUGCCAACCAUAGCCAAUGGGUCUGCUUUGCCCUCUGGAUCAGCUCUUCCAGGACCACCAAAAAUAACGUUGGCUGGAGUAACUCUUAGUUCAUGGGACACAAAGUCUAAAAAGCCAUGUAACUGUACCAAAUCCCAGUGUCUGAAAUUACAAAAGAGGGGCUGCCAAACCUCAAGUGAUGCCUGCGGAUGUGGUGUCCUGGGCAAUCACAGGACAGUAGACUGAAGAGUAGACUGAAGAAGGGGCACAAUGCAAAUACCUAGUGCAAGAAUACAUAGACUGCGUGUGGCGGUGAUAACAAAGCAUGAACUCACAGGAAUCAGGCAUUCUCUGAACGACCACCAUCGACAUUCAUUCAUCAACCUGGAGGCAGUCCAAUUUUCUGCCGUUGAGGACUUGGAACCUUAAGUCUCUCUUGACCAAGCCCGCCAAGUGGGGGAGCCUGAGACCAGCGAGGACUGUGCUUCUCCAGCUCUCUUCUUGCUGCUACCUCUGAUGCUGUGACCAACCUGGCCUCUUAGGAGGGGAAAGCAAUUUUGCAUAGAAGGGAAUGUCCACGUAAGUGGGAAGAAGGGAGUGGGAGUUUGCUGAGGGGCCAAGGUGUAUAUCCUGACCCAAGACAUGGGUUUUCAACCCAGUCGACACUCAAUCCUGAGAAAAAGGGCACGUUUGCACGACGGUAAGUCUCAUAAGAUGAGGACAUGAGGACUACGUCUUAUUUAUGGCUGUAUCUCUAGAGCCCAAUGAGGUCCAGUGUGACACGGCUCAAAGUGAGCGGUGACUCUUGAACGGAGGCUUUAAUUUAAUGCAGUCAAAAUUAUCACUUGUCUUUAUUAUUAGUGCCUUUUCUUUUCAAGAAAUCCGCUCAUAUCCCAAGGUUGAAUAGUUGUGCUGUUAGAGUUUCUUCUAAAAGUUUUAAAGGUUUGCUUUUCCCCCUUGAUGACUUCAUGCACCUGGAAUUGAUUUUGGUGAAUGGCAUUAGGCAGCGAUCUCAUUUCAUUUUUUUCCAUAUGUGCAAUUAAUUGUCCAGCACCAUGUAUUGCAAACCACUAAUAUAGUCCCCAGUAAUCUGCAGUGCAUCUCCUGUCAGCUGUCAAGCCUUGGUGUGCACGCAAGGUUGGGUUCUGGAUUCUCGAUCCUGCUCCAUGCAUGGAUCCCACCUCUUAGUUGUAAUGAUUUGUCUGUGGAUUUCCUUCACUUUCGUAUUUAAAUAAUCGUCUUGUCUACAAAUAAGGACCGUGAUAGCUUUCCCAUCUUUAUAGUCUUUUCCUUUCCUUGCCUUACUGUCUUAGCUAGGACCUCUACUGUGGAGUGAGUGGAAGUGCUAGUACUGGGUGUUGUUGGCUUGCUGCUGAUUUUAAUAGAAAUGCUUCUAAAAUUCCCUUGCUCUGCCCUAAAUAAGCUAUUUGCUGUAGGUUUUGAUAGAUACUCUGUACUAGGUAGACAGUGUACUUAGAUACCAUAACAAAGACUCUAAACUACAGCCAUUUCAGGGCUCACAUGGCAGCUUGUCAGAAUGAGUGUCUCAGCCCCCUUUUUCAGUUGCUCUGCCAUCCUCAGUGGGGUGCUUCCAUUCUGUGGGCUAAGAAGGCUGCUCUGGCUCCUACCCUCACACUCAUUCCAGCCACUGAGGAGGAGAAAAGGGCUGGGUGGAGGCACUCUCCUUACCUGUCAAGGCAUAACCAGCAAUUGCCAUUAUCACUUCCACUCACGCUCCAUUGGGCAGACCUAGUCACGUGGUCAGACUGCGCCAGGUAGGAAGCUGGGAAACGUCUUGAGUGCAGUCAAGCAUAGGCUCACCUAAAAUUGCUGACACUGUAGAGUGACGGGAGAGUGGAGGCUGCUGACAGCCUGCAUCUCUGCUGCAUGCCCACGUCAGGUUAAGGGGGUUUCCUUCUGUUCCUUGUUUCCUAAGAGCUUUUCUUUUUUGGUGCUUAUUAUAAAUGAGUGGUGAAUUUUAUCAAAGGCUUUCUUCUGCAUUUAUUGAAAUGGUCAGAUUGCUUUGCUCUUUUAAUCUUACAGUGUGAUCCCUUAGAACAAAAUUUCUAAUGUUAAUCCGCUCUUGUCGGCCAGGGAUUCAACCCAAUGUGGUUAUGAUAUGCUGAUUUUAUCUUCUGUGUACACUGCAGGACUUAGUUUCCGACUGUUUUGCUGAGGAUUUUUGCAUCUUUUUCAUGAAUGAGAUAGAUCUGUAAUUUUCCUUUAUCAUAUUUUCUUUAUUUGGUUUUGGUAUAAAAAUCAGUGUUUGGUAUUGCCUAAUAAAAUGCAUUGUCAGGCUUCCUCACCCUCACCCCACCCUCUUCUCUUUUUCUCUAGCCUCUGAAAUGUCUGAGUGAGGUAGGAUUUAUUUGUUCUUUGAAGUUUGAUUAAACUUUGCCUGUAAAACCUUCUGGGCCUGGUGCCUUUGGGGGUUAGAGUGGGGAAAGGGAAUGGGGUACUCACUCACUUUCUCUAGUAGUUAUUGCUUUCUCUAAGUUUGUAUUUCUUCUUGAGUCUGUUUUGAUACUUUAUAUUUUUCUGGAAAAUUGUUGAUUUCUCUAAAUUUUCAGAUUUAUACAUCUAUUCAUGUAUUCAUGUACUAUUUAACUGUUAUCUCUGUAUCUGUAGUUAUAG